rnacentral:rRNA from 1 species
UACGUAGGGUCCGAGCGUUGUCCGGAAUUAUUGGGCGUAAAGAGCGCGUAGGCGGUCCGGUAAGUCGGUUGUGAAAGUCGGGGGGCUCAACCCUCGGAUGCCGAUCGAUACUGUCGGGCUAGAGUCCGGAAGAGGCGAGUGGAAUUCCUGGUGUAGCGGUGAAAUGCGCAGAUAUCAGGAGGAACACCAAUGGCGAAGGCAGCUCGCUGGGACGGUACUGACGCUGAGGAGCGAAAGCGUGGGGAGCGAACAGG